rnacentral:rRNA from 1 species
GAUGAACGCUGGCGGCGUGCUUAACACAUGCAAGCCGAACGGUGAAGCAGAGCUUGCUCUGUGGAUCAGUGGCGAACGGGUGAGUAACACGUGAGCAAUCUGCCCCUGACUCUGGGAUAAGCGCUGGAAACGGCGUCUAAUACCGGAUAUGAGCUGCGGCCGCAUGGUCGGCAGUUGGAAAGAUUUUUCGGUCAGGGAUGAGCUCGCGGCCUAUCAGCUUGUUGGUGAGGUAAUGGCUCACCAAGGCGUCGACGGGUAGCCGGCCUGAGAGGGUAACCGGCCACGCUGGGACUGAGACACGGCCCAGACUCCUACGGGAGGCAGCAGUGGGGAAUAUUGCACAAUGGGCGGAAGCCUGAUGCAGCAACGCCGCGUGAGGGAUGACGGCCUUCGGGUUGUAAACCUCUUUUAGCAGGGAAGAAGCGAAAGUGACGGUACCUGCAGAAAAAGCGCCGGCUAACUACGUGCCAGCAGCCGCCGUAA